rnacentral:rRNA from 1 species
CAGUAGCCACGGGAAUACGAAGGGGGCUAGCGUUGUUCGGAAUUACUGGGCGUAAAGGGCGCGUAGGCGGCCAUUCAAGUUAGAUGUGAAAGCCCUGGGCUCAACCUAGGAAUUGCAUUUGAUACUGUUUGGCUUGAGUUCGGGAGAGGUGAGUGGAAUUCCCAGUGUAGAGGUGAAAUUCGUAGAUAUUGGGAAGAACACCGGUGGCGAAGGCGGCCCGCUGGACAUGUAUUGACGCUGAGGUGCGAAAGCGUGGGGAGCAAACAGGAUUAGAUACCCCUGUAGUCCCUGUCUCUUAUAC